rnacentral:misc_RNA from 1 species
UCUCCGUAGGUGAACCUGCGGAGGGAUCAUUACUGAGUGAGGGCUUCGGUCCGACCUCCAACCCUUUGUGAACCAAACUUGUUGCUUCGGGGGCGACCCUGCCAUCGUGCGAGGCGCCCCCGGAGGCUCAUUAAACACUGCAUCUCUGCGUCGGAGUUAAAGUAAAUUAAACAAAACUUUCAACAACGGAUCUCUUGGUUCCAGCAUCGAUGAAGAACGCAGC